rnacentral:rRNA from 1 species
GACGAACGCUGGCGGCGUGCCUAAUACAUGCAAGUCGAACGCACUCUCGUUUAGAUUGAAGGAGUUUGCUCCUGAUUGAUAAACAUUUGAGUGAGUGGCGGACGGGUGAGUAACACGUGGGUAACCUGCCCUAAAGUGGGGGAUAACAUUUGGAAACAGAUGCUAAUACCGCAUAAAACCUAACACCGCAUGGUGUAGGGUUGAAAGAUGGUUUCGGCUAUCACUUUAGGAUGGACCCGCGGUGCAUUAGUUAGUUGGUGAGGUAAAGGCUCACCAAGACCGUGAUGCAUAGCCGGCCUGAGAGGGUAAUCGGCCACACUGGGACUGAGACACGGCCCAGACUCCUACGGGAGGCAGCAGUAGGGAAUCUUCCACAAUGGACGAAAGUCUGAUGGAGCAACGCCGCGUGAGUGAAGAAGGUUUUCGGAUCGUAAAACUCUGUUGUUGGAGAAGAAUGUAUCUGAUAGUAACUGAUCAGGUAGUGACGGUAUCCAACCAGAAAGCCACGGCUAACUACGUG